UGAUACUAUCUAGACCUAGCCAUGGUUUAAAUAUGUUACUAUCUUGGCCUAACCAUUGUUUAUAUAUGUUACUAUCUUGCCAGUGUUUAAAUAUGUUACUAUCUAGCCAGUGUUUAAAUAUGUUACUAUGAUACUAUCUAGACCUAGCCAUUGUUUAAAUAUGUUACUAUCCAGACCUAACCAGUGUUUAAAUAUGUUACCAUCUAGCCAGUG